rnacentral:rRNA from 1 species
CUACGGGAGCUACGGGAGGCAGCAGGGGGGAAUUUUGGACAAUGGGCGAAAGCCUGAUCCAGCCAUGCCGCGUGAGUGAAGAAGGCCUUCGGGUUGUAAAGCUCUUUUAGUCGGAAAGAAAGAGUUGCAAUGAAAAUUGUGAUUUAUGAC